GAUGAAGAACGUAGCGAAAUGCGAUAAGUAAUGCGAAUUGCAGAAUUCCAGUGAGUCAUCGAAUCUUUGAACGCACAUUGCGCCCAUUGGUAUUCCAUGGGGCAUGCCUGUUCGAGCGUCAUUUGUACCUUCAAGCUCUGCUUGGUGUUGGGUGUUUGUCUCGCCUCUGCGUGUAGACUCGCCUCAAAACAAUUGGCAGCCGGCGUAUUGAUUUCGGAGCGCAGUACAUCUCGCGCUUUGCACUCAUAACGACGACGUCCAAAAGUACAUUUUUACACUCUUGACCUCGGAUCAGGUAGGGAUACCCGCUGAACUUAAGCAUAUCAAUAAGCGGAGGA
rnacentral:misc_RNA from 1 species